rnacentral:rRNA from 1 species
GACGAACCGUGCGAACGUUAUUCGGAAUCACUGGGCUUAAAGCGCGUGUAGGCGGCCCGGCACGUCAUCGGCUGAAAUCCCCCGGCUCAACCGGGGAAGGGGCCAUGAUACGACCGGGCUGGAGGCCGGUAGGGGGCGCCGGAACUCACGGUGGAGCGGUGAAAUGCGUUGAGAUCGUGAGGAACGCCCGUGGCGAAAGCGGGCGCCUGGACCGGGCCUGACGCUGAGACGCGAAAGCCAGGGGAGCGAA